rfam:Phytophthora infestans T30-4 supercont1.33 genomic scaffold, whole genome shotgun sequence.
GCCACUAUAGCUCAGUGAUAGAGCACCAUCUUAGUAAGCGGAAGGUCGGUAGGUCGAUCCUGCCUGGGGGUA